CGGGUAACAGAGUGAGGCGACCCCGCCGAGGGUGAGCGAAGCACAAAAAAAGACCGUCCCCAGUUCGGAUUGUAGUCUGCAACCCGACUACAUGAAGCUGGAAUCGCUAGUAAUCGCAGGUCAGCAUACUGCGGUGAAUACGUUCCCGGGUCUUGUACACACCGCCCGUCACACCAUGGGAGCCGGAAAUGCCCGAAGCCAGUGACCCAACCUUAGGGAGGGAGCUGUCGAAGGUGGAGCCGGUAACUGGGGUGAAGUCGUAACAAGGUACC
rnacentral:rRNA from 1 species